UACGUAGGCAGCAAGCGUUGUUCGGAGUUACUGGGCGUAAAGGGUGUGUAGGCGGUUCUUUAAGUUUGCCGUGAAAUCUCCCGGCUUAACCGGGAGGGUGCGGUGAAUACUGAGGGACUAGAGUACGGGAGAGGAAAGUGGAAUUCCUGGUGUAGCGGUGAAAUGCGUAGAUAUCAGGAGGAACACCGGUGGUGUAGACGGCUUUCUGGACCGACACUGACGCUGAGACACGAAAGCGUGGGUAGCAAACAGG
rnacentral:rRNA from 1 species